UUAAGUUCAGCGGGUAUUCCUACCUGAUCCGAGGUCAACCUUAGAAAUUGGGGGUUUUACGGCAAGAACCCGCCGCACGACCAUAGCGAUGUAGAGUUACUACGCUCGGUGUGACUAGCGAGCCCGCCACUGUUUUGAGGGACCGCGGGCAGCCGCGGAUCCCCAACGCAAGCAGAGCUUGAUGGUUGAAAUGACGCUCG
rnacentral:misc_RNA from 1 species